rnacentral:misc_RNA from 1 species
GGGGGUGCGGAUAGAAGAUAAUUUUCUAUCCUUUGUUAUGAAGAAAAUCAAGAUGGGUUGAAAUUUGAAAUGAUGUUGGAAAUGUGAAGGAACUUUUCUUUCACCAUAAUGCCAUCAGCAGAGGAGAAUCCAGAGAGCAAAAUUAAGGAGCAAGCAUUCACCUUUUAGAAGAAAUGGAUCUUAUUUUUUAUUCAAAUGGUAGCU